GACGAACGCUGGCGGCGUGCUUAACACAUGCAAGUCGAACGCUGAAGCUCAGCUUUUGUUGGGUGGAUGAGUGGCGAACGGGUGAGUAACACGUGAGUAACCUGCCUCCUUCUUUGGGAUAACGCCCGGAAACGGGUGCUAAUACUGGAUAUUCACUGGUCUUCGCAUGGGGGCUGGUGGAAAGGGUUUUUCUGGUGGGGGAUGGGCUCGCGGCCUAUCAGCUUGUUGGUGGGGUGAUGGCCUACCAAGGCUUUGACGGGUAGCCGGCCUGAGAGGGUGACCGGUCACAUUGGGACUGAGAUACGGCCCAGACUCCUACGGGAGGCAGCAGUGGGGAAUAUUGCACAAUGGGCGCAAGCCUGAUGCAGCGACGCCGCGGGAGGGAUGGAGGCCGUCGGGUUGUGAACCUCUUUCGCUCAUGGUCAAGCCGCAACAAUGGUUGUGGUGAGGGUAGUGGGUAAAGAAGCGCCGGCUAACUACGUG
rnacentral:rRNA from 1 species